AGGCCCCCAGCGGCUAUAGCUCCCGCUAAGCAUCUGAACGGAUCCCUUGUUUAAAGACCCGACUUCCGCCGUACGUAUAUGGUGGAGGUCAGGGACGGGGUAAAGAUGAACUUGUGUAAGGGCUUGUUCACAUCUGUGUUGGAAGCUUACAGUCUUUAACAACAAGGAAGUUUAUUUUUGAUUCUUACAAGUAACAGUCGAAAAUAUGCCACAAGAGGCCUUGUGAUGAAAAGAAGCGUGAAAAAAUAGUUGCGUUCAUUUAGUCAACUGCACUAAAAAUGAUAGCUGUAAAAUAAAAGGGUGACUGUUCCAUUUUUUUCCCCAGUCCAUUGGAUCUUGUUUAUGAGGCCAUUUGCACUGUGUACGUUAAUCCAGCAGUAUAUAUAUUUAUAUAUAUAUAUAUAUAUAUUUUUUUUCUUUUUCCAGUUCUGUGCAUCGUCUUUUGACAGUUUAAUAGUAUAAUUGUCACGCAAGCCGCUGCAUUAGGAGCCAGCAAUCCAGGGAUAUUUAGAGAUGAAAUAGUCAUGAGACCUCGGUUUUCUGUGAGCUUAAUGGCUUACGAUGAGUGUUGUGGCU